GGCGAACGGCUGAGUAACACGUGGGCAACCUGCCCUUUGCACUGGGAUAGCCUCGGGAAACCGAGGUUAAUACCGGAUACUCCAUAUUUGUCGCAUGGCGAAUAUGGGAAAGCUCCGGCGGCAAAGGAUGGGCCCGCGGCCUGUUAGCUAGUUGGUGGGGUAGUGGCCUACCAAGGCAAUGAUGGAUAGCCGGGUUGACGAGACCGACCGGCCAGAUUGGGUACUGAGACACGGCCCAGACUCCUACGGGAGGGCAGCAGUG
rnacentral:rRNA from 1 species